rnacentral:lncRNA from 1 species
GUUUGAUAUAUCAAUGUGGUUGUUGUUAUUAGGUUAAUACUAUCGUAUGAAAGUUGGGAUUUUGUUUUGUGUUUUCUCUAUUCAAUUUUUCUUAAACUGUACAAUUUGGAAGGCACGUUAACAAAGGUAACUUUUAGUAUUAUAUAUUAAAUAUUGAUUUUUGAUUGUAAUAUACAGGCACCAGUAUAAGUACACAUUUUAUUAAAAAAAAAGAGACGAAAGAUACUAAAGAGAACAUUUAAAUAUAAUAGGUCGAAGAGGAGAGGGACGAAAGAUACUAAAGAGAAAAUUUAAAUAUAAUAGGUCGAAGAGGAGAGGGACGAAAGAUACUAAAGAGAACAUUUAAAUAUAAUAGGUCGAAGGAGAGGCGAAGAGGAGAGGGACGAAAGAUACUAAAGAGGACAUUUAAAUAUAAUAGGGCGAAAAGGAGAGGGACGAAAGAUACUAAAGAGAACAUUUAAAUAUAAUAGGUCAAAGGAGAGGGACGAAAGAUACUAAAGAGAACAUUUAAAUAUAAUAGGUCGAAGAGGAGAGGGACGAAAGAUACUAAAGAGAACAUUUAAAUAUAAUAGGUCGAAGAGAAACUGACAAUACCACGGCUAACAUCGAAAGAAGACGAACAGACAAACAAUCACAUAAAGUACUACAUAUAAAGCUUUUAAGAAUACAAACCCGACAUAGAACUGGGGUGAUCGUAUAUGUCCCAAUAGAGUACACACAUCAUGCUUAAAAUUCGGUGAUAGCUGUAAUAGGGAAAAGAGGACAGUAUUAAUGUUAUGACAAUUGAACAAGUUGACACAUUUCGUAAAUGGUCAGCCAGUUCAUGAUGGCGUCUGUAAAAUUAUUAGAGAGAUGACUUCAUAUCUUUCCAAUUGGAACCCUUGUAACAUCUUCUGUGAAAGCAACAACCCUUUAGCAAGGAAAUUAAUCAUACUAGGAAAUUCAAGCCCUGGAAGGUCUUAUCAACUGGAAAAUAUAUACUGGCGCUAGUGGAAUGUUGCUGCAAAAGUGUAAAUCGUUCAUAAUUUGGAGACUGAAAAAACACAUUUCAUCAAAAAAGAUUACGACACACCUUACAGUAAGAUUAAUACACAUCCUUACAUCCUUUCUCAAAACAUCCUUUCUCAAACACACAUACAAUGAUAAAACACACUACACUACAACAUUGUUAAGUAACAACUUACUCAUUAUAGCAAUAAAAAGACACACCCUACAGCAUGAUUAAGAAAAAGUUAACAGCAGGGUUUAGAAACACGGAGUGAAUGAUGUUUUUUUCCCGGAUUGACUAUUCAUGUGCAUCGUUUGCUAAAAGCUUAUUUUUCCUUCCUCGAGAUAGAUUGAUUCCUGCAUUUUGUGUUCAAGAUAUUCAUCCUGUCAUAUAGAAGGUUAUUUAUUUCAACUUUUACCAGGCCUGGAUAUUCACUGAAAGAACCUCCUGUCCACCAGAGAUUCAAAUGAUCAUCGCCUCCUUACAAGUGAACGGUUUAACUAGCUAUAAAACCAGGUUUAAUCCACCAUUUUCUACACAAGGAAAUGCCUAUACUAAUUCAGGAAUAUGACAGUUGUUUACCAUUUGUUUGAUGUGUUUACACUUUUUGAAUUUUUCUUGGAGUUCGGUAUUUAUGGACAUUUUAACCUAGAACUACCAAUAACAUAGACAUGAUUUCCUAGGAAAAUUAGUCUGGAUACAAAUUUAUUAAAAAAUAUUGAUACACAACUCUUGCGUUUUGUCUUUAACAUUAUUAAAACAUAUUGCAAUCAUAUUCACCUUUUAGAAUUAAGGGCAUGGAAAUUUUAACCUAGGACUAUUAAUGACAUGGACAUGAUUUCCUAGGAAAAUUAGUCUAGGGACAUCAAUUUUAUCAAAAAUAAUAUAACUGCAACUCUUAAACAUUACCAAAACAUAACUUUUAAAUUUCCAUGGUUUAAACGUAAUUGAAUUUAUUACAGGAUUGUACAGGACAUGAUUACCUAGGAAAAUUAGUCUGGGGACAUAUAUUACUAUCAUCAGACUAAAUAUACUAGUAAAUUCUGUAACCAUGGACUUUUUAUACUGGUAAUAUUAGUCCGCCCAGACAUAUUUUACCAAGACAAAUUUAUCACUUACAUUUUAUUUUGCACACCAAUUAUACAAUACAUAUCUUAAAAGUAAACAGUAGUAAAGCACGUCUUACAAAUAACAAUAACACUGACAUGGUUGAAUCACAGACAUCUGCUUUUUAAAGACGUUUUCUGAAAAAAUAUAAACCUUUUAACUUUCAAUUAUAAGACAUUAAAAAAACCAAAAGUUAUAAGAAAAAAAGUUUAAAAACAUUCCACGUGGGCGUAUGUAGUCAUUACUAAAUCCUCUAUAUCUUCAAACCCGUCCAUUCAAACUAUACACAGACUGCUUAACCGCGAAUCGAAUCAAUUCUCAAAACACCCUAUUAAAAAGCUAUAACUAAAUCAUUACGUUAAUAUUCAAAAUCUUUCCGCACAACGCACAUAAACCCAUGUUCAUAUAAAUACAUACAAUUUAUAACAUACUGAAUAUGAAUGUAUAAAUAAAACAUCAUGAUUAGUGGUUGUCUUAUGUCACAUCUUAAUAGUUUUAUUUUGGUGAUAUUACAAUUUUUUGAGAAACUUUGACAGUUUCUUAUGGAUUAGGCCAAUUUCGCGUUUUUUUGCUUUUUCGCAUUGUUUGCUUUUGUAUUUUCAACGGUGAAAAUGCAAAUUGUGAAAGCAGAAAAGCCAAUACGCAAAAGCGAAAACGCAAAUGUUUUUGAAUUAACGAAAGAAAAACGCGAAAACGUGAAACUGGACGCAUCCGUCUUCCAUAGUUUCUGUUUAUUUUGUUCUAUCUUGUGUUGAUGCUCCUAUCUUUUGUUGGUGACAUUUUGUUGACUUCUAGCGUUCUUUUUGAUUAGUUCGCCAAUGAGUAGCAGUUUCAUUGACGAAAACAAGCAUCCCCUUUCAUAGUAUUCCGCACCAAGUCAAACUGCUCUUUUUGUAAUUUCAAUUUCUUGGGGUUACGGCAAUAUUCAACCGUUACAUGUGUGUAGGAAAAGCUGUCUGAUAUGAAGCAUAUCUGCUAAAAUGAAAUGAAAGUGCAUAUAUAUGACCUAAUAGAAAUACAGAUUAACAAUGUUAUAUAUUAGUUAUUUUGCAACGAAUUAAUUUAGACUUGGCCAAAAAGUUUUGUUUUUAUUUAAUCAAAAUCUUGCGCAACAAGUGAUAUUUGAUGGGUGUUAAGUAAAAAAAAAACCAUUUACAAACCCAUUUUAGGCAACCAUGAGAAAGUAUAAUUAUAGCGAUUGCUACCGUACUUCACUCAUAGAGAUAAUCACCUAACAUCAUCAAGACCUUUAGAAGAAAAGAGAUAGGAUCAAUCAGGGGUUGAUCAAGGAUUUUUGAAAGGUUAUAUUAUUUCAAAAAACGUCGAGCGGAGCAAGGUGAACCAGUUUUUGAACGAUUUUACGCUACACGAAAGAUAUAUUAUCCAAUCAAAGAUGAUACGGUACGCCUUCUACGCCUCCCCGAAUGCGCAACUGCCUAUUUCCUCUUACAUUUAUAUCAUACAUGGACCAAUUUCAUAAAGUAUUCAGAUCUUUAUUACUCAAAUUCAUAAAAAUCAUUGUAGCUACAAGUUUGCAUUUUAAAAUUUUAACAGUAAAGCUAGUUUUACCUAAACAAAUGUCCGAAUCAUUAACUUCUGGGUAUAUCCCGACAAGGCAAUUAAAACGUUCUGUCAAGUUUUCAGUAGUUUAUAACAACAUCAACAAAGUAAAGAGGAAGAACAUGACUUACUUACUUGAUUUAAUCCUUUUCAUUCCUUGUGGAACAUAAGGCUGCCACAGUCGCUUUCCACCUUACUCUUUUUUCGGGCUAUUACUUUUGCAUCGCUCCAGGUAUAUCCUACAGCUCCUUGUGCCUUAAUCAUCCCCAGCUAUGAAAUGGUCUCCCCGGUCUCCGAUGUCCUUGUGGGUUCCAUUCUAAUGCCUGUCUAGUGAUGGUACCUACAGGUUUCUCCAAAAUGUACCAAUCCAUUGCCAUGUUCUUCUCUUUAGCUGUUUUAUUGCUGGUUCCUGGUUGGUUGUUUCCCAUAAGCAUUUGUUACUAGUUGUUUCUGGCCACCAAAAUUUUAAAAUUUGGCACAGGCAUUUGUUGAUAAAAACCUGGAUUUGAUGUUGUACCCCUGUUGUAAGUCUCCAGGUUUCUGAUCCAUAAAAAAGGGCUAAUUUUACAUUGGUUUUGAAAAGUCGAAUUUUGGUGUUUUCUGUAAAUGCUGUUGAUUUACAAACUGGCUUCAGCAUAUGAAAGGCUUGUCGAGCUUUACUUAUUCUUGUCCUGAUGUCUGCAUCUGUCCCACAAGAAGAAAAGCAUGCUUCACGAAAACUAAAAUAAGUUCUAAAUGAACUUAUUCAAUUUUAUCUUUCCUUUAAAAGUAUAUUUAUUCAUUAUAGUCGGAGACAUUCGUCGAUGCCAUAUAUCCAAAAUCAGGUAUUACAAUGUAUUUACAUAUUAUUCAUAAGUAUACUUAUCAUAAUACAGACUGGUGGAUUCAGAUGGGGGCAUGACAGGCGUGUGUUCCAUACAAUUUGCAAAACAUGGGCAGUCCUCAGGUCAAUAAAGACUAUUUCGAUAGUUUUACCCCCCCCUUUUCCAAAAAAAAUUCGCUAAAAUUUAAGUUUGCUUCUAAAAUACUGGAGUCAUAAUGCAAUAGCAACAUUCAUUUCUGAAUAAUAUUCAAUUCUAAGGAAAUAUAUAAAAUUUUCAAAAAUCAUAUUUGAUAAAAAUUAAUAAUAUUGUCGACUUUAUAUUCAAAUUUCUGUGAAAUUUUUCCUCUUUAACAUUUUACCCUAUAAAUAAAACAUAUACAUUUGAAACAUACCCUUAGUAAUAUAUUUUAAUAAUUAAAAUUAAAGUAGAAAUUAUUAAAGAAACAAAUAUUCUUCAUAAUUAACCGAAGUCAUUUCCUACAACGAAAUUUAACGAAGUUGUAAAAUUCAAGAAAAAAAUAAAAACACAAAAUUUUUGUUUACUGGAAAGUACUAGUUUAUAGUUAUAAUGUUCUUGUUGAUAUAAUCUGCCUUAUAUUAUAUCUACACGUCAACAUAAACAUAAAGGUAUUAGCCAUGGAUUAUAUUUUUUUCUAUCACAUGUUGUGUUGAAUGUGAUUUUUAUACACCUUUAAAUCUUCAACAUUUUCUUGUUUUCUACUUCAUUUGUUAAACGCAUCAUUACUUAAUGCACUUCUCUAUUGUUAUGGUAAUACUAUAUAUUAAAUAGUCGUCACUAAUCUGGAUAUUUCUCUGCAGAGACAGACUUGAGAAUGGCGGCUAAAGCAGUGUCUGGACUGGUUCUUUUGAUUGCUGUAACUGUAGUCUGUCAAGGUAUUUAUUGAACUUCAAAACUAACUAGACAAAUUUAAAAAUAAUAAUUUUCGGUGAUUAAAUUGGUUAAAAAAAUUGUAAAAUACCGAAAUAAAUUUCGCGUUUCAUUUGAGCAUUUCGAAAUAAGGUACUUUUCCUUAAGUUGCUCACUCAUAGAGUCAUUGUGACACUCAUAACGUUGUUAAAACUUACUAGAUUGUAAAUAUAGAAAAUUUUACAUUUUUUAAACACCAUACACAUAUUCAUAGAAUAAAAUGCUUUUCUCUGUUGCGUCAUGUUUUGAAUCAAUUAAAUGUUUAGAAUCUGCAGUCAAGCAGUAUGCACGCACGAUCUGAUUGUUCAAAUUUACAUUUCAAACUUAUACCCUUGAAAACACUGAAGUAACAUAAGCAUUGCUAUAUGAAAAUUCCACAGAAGCGCAUCAUGCUACAUUAGGGAACGACCAUUUUGUUUUCUAGUUGGGAUGGUGGUUGCAGAAUGAAAAUUAAUCCUCAGAAGAAAAAAGACAUGCAUAGCAACAUGUGAAAAAUAAAAAAUCUGUUCAUAAGAUGGUAUUUUUAUCGACAGUCGAAAUUUGAACUCAGCUAUACAUAUGUUACAGUUUUACAAUUUUUCAAAUUAUUGUAAUGACCUAUAUUAUUGCAUGUGUUUCUCCUGAUUACUUUUUACACCAAAAACGAGAGACAUAUUUGCCACUGGAAGUUAAGCAUACACCAAUCAACCAAUCAGUCGUUUGUUUUUAAAUACCCGUAUAUCAAACUGAGAAGUACAUGUUGUGAAUUUAUUAUCGUGUUUUUUGGCUCAUUUUGACAUUUUGUAAUUAUUAACUCGAACAGAUCUUAUCCAUGUAAAUAUUGUUGGUUUGAAAUUCAGUAACAAAUUUCCUUCAAAGAACUUGAAGGCUAAAAUACACGUUUCGAUGUUUUUUUUUUCUAUAUAAAUAAUUCAUAUUUGAUAUUUUACAACGAUUCACACAAUUUGUAAGGACACUCACCAUCUUGAACAUGAAGAUAUUUUUUUGCAGAGCCCAAAUGAGGUGCCAUAAUAACAUACCUGCCAACUUUUGAAAAUGGUCAUGGGGGUUUUUGUGCGCGGCACCAUUUUUGAGGGUAGAAUUUUUCGCGGCAUUUUUUCGUGUGAUGAUUUUGCUCCUUAAAGUGGCUGACGUACUUCUUUUUUGGGGGGUGAUAGUUGAAGAUGCUAUUAUAACCUAUCUUUUUUUAAUUGUUUGAUUGUUGUAUUCUUUUUUGUUGAGAUAAACACCAGUAAGAUGACUUAUGUUUGUCUGAUACAUUGUCAAGAAAUAAAAAAAAAGUAAUAAUUUUAAUAAUUUAAUAACAAAAAAAAACCAACAAUAUAUGAGGGUCUGGAAUGGGGGGUCUGUGUUCUGUAAACAUUUAAUUUUCACCCCUUUUUUCUCUAAUCUUCAAAAAAUUAACCUCUUUUUUCUCUAAUCUUCAAAAAAUUUGACCACGCAUUUCUCAAAUUUUCAUUUUUUUUUGCCCGUUAUUCCCUUAUCUUCAUUUUUUAAGGGCAUUAUAUUCUCUAAUAAUUUAACCCCAUCCAAACCCUCAUAUAUUAUAUAGAUCAAUAUCACAAGAAGUACUAGAAUGUUUGGAGACAUCAUUAAGGCCACCGUGGUCAACUUUAAAUCUCUGUUGCAAACUUUACAAAAGGCAUGUGACAAUCCUAACGUUGAUUUAGACAACCAGCCCCUGUACUUGACAUCAAUAUUUCCCAUUUCUCUAUUAAAGUAUUUGCACGAAGCAACACGCUUUUUUUUCUUAGGCGGUGACAGAACUAUUUUGCAAGUGAUAACUCGCCCAUCAUGAUUCCAAUCUUUAUAAAUUUAACACCAAGCUAAAAAAAAACUCAAAUUUCGAUUCUUUGAUGUUUACUAUGCGACAUUAAUCAACUGGUGAAUGCGUGAUCACUAAAUUUUGAUUGGAUGAAAUUUGUCAGACACGAUUUGUCUCCCUUGGGAAAACUUUCAAAAGUUCAAAAUCGGGAACAAAAAUAUUUUGCAGAGCCCAUAAUAUAAAUAAACUUUAUGACACAAUACGAAAUCCAACAACAAACCGUAUAGUCCAAUAAAAAGGGCCGAUAUGACAAAAGUGACAUAAUUUAAACGAAAAACAAAAGACUGACAACAACUGAUUAUAUUUACAAGCACUGAAUUACGGGCUCCUGACUUGGGAAAAGCGCAUUUAUAUCCUACCGUAGUCUAAAAUCGUUCAUCUUGUCAGUUCGUUAGGUAUUGUGUUUGAACUUAACACACGGGGAAACUCCGCAUUGACGUCACUACGCUACUUCCGGCGUAGAAAAACAAGUAGAUACGUUUUUUCUGCACUUUUGAAUAAAAAAAACAUUUCUGAAGGUAAGUUUUCAUUGUUGUUCUCAAUUAUUGAUAAAAAAUGCCAAAUUUCUAAUGCCCGUUUCAAUCCCGACCUCCGAAUGUCUAAAAACAUUCUAGAAUUCACAAAAUCCCAUUCCGGCCUCCAUUGCUUUGUGUACAUUCCAUCAGCGUCAUCAAUUUGUGGCAGGAUACAGGUCAAGCAAAUCUUAUUUUUUGGAAUUUAAAAUGACAUGCUCCUUACGUUUUUCGCGAUUUUCCCGCGAAAAAAAGCCCAACCAAAAUGAAAGGAAACUAAUUGAAAAAACUAUGCCCAUGCCAAAUUUGUACAGGAGUAUAGAUAGGUUAAUGAAAAAUAAUUUACAUUUAAUUUUUCAUAGAAUUUUCUUUUUAUUCAUUAUAAAAGAUCGAUAUUCUGACCAUCAUGACUGUAGAUAAAUAUUCAUACAGAAUUCCAUUGAUGUCAAAAAGGGAUGGCAAAAAAAGAGUUCCUGUUGAAUAAAACCCAAAUUUAUUGCAAACUAUUUUGGAGCAAUAUCCCACAAAGAAAUAGCGUAAUUGCCGUAGACUGGAAAAUCCCCUAAUUGACAGUAGAGCAAUUUGAUUGGGUAGAACGAAAUGACAUCACGUGAUUUUGACGCCAUUGAAAUUUAAAUGUAAACAAACAAGGUCAGAAGGUUCAGUAUGGGACAGCAUCGUACAUUUAGUUCUGACAAAUAAUUAUGAGUUCCAAGCUUGACAAUGCAUGGUGAUAAAAAUGAAAGCUAAGUGUACAGAAAAAAUAAGAAAAAAAUAGCCUUAGGAUAACGACUUAUCAUUACACCUGGAUAUGUGACAUAUGUGGUGGGAUAAACAUGUCUGUAGCGGUCAGCCUAAGAUAGUGGUGUAGCAGCACACCAUUAGAACGAAUUGUAAACAUUCGUUGGAUAUGGUUUGACUAAUGAAAUUGACAUUAAGUGUUUUUUUGUAAAAAUCUUAAUUUGAGUUUUUCUCGAGUUGAUCAAAUGUAACAUAUUCUUUUGCGUUGCGAUGACAUAAUGUUAUGUGUUUUUGUUUACGUGAAAAUCAUUUUGUAAAUGCAAAUGCUAAUCUAGGUGCAUAUAAUUUUAUACUUAUAUUAUGUAUUUAAUACCGUUUGAUCGUUUCAUGGCAAAUGAGAUCCUGUUAUUUACUUGAAUUAAAAAAAUAUAAUCCUGAAAAAGGAAUGUGUCAAAUUUGUCCUAACAUCUUUUGUUAUAGGAGCUUAAAUUCAGCCGGCAAUAAUAAAGUCAGUACAGGAUGUUUCAGUUAUAUUGAACGAGUAAAUGUAAUAAUAUUACUUUUUAACGAAAAUCCAAAUCAUAAAAUAAGUAUUACGAAGUACAACACAAGUUGCGCUUUUUAAAAUUAAUGUGACAUUGCCCCAUCAUGGUAGCAAGCUAUGUCGAAAAGUAGAACGAAAUCGAUGAAUAGUCAAGUCAUUAUGUACCAUUUAAUCAGAAUUAUUGCAUACAUAUAAGAUAUUUAAGUUUUGCUGUAAUUAAUCUCUUUUCAAAGAAUAGUGGAAAUCAUAUAUGCCGAGCGGAGCGAGGCUAAAAAGAUUUGAAGGGUUUUGGAGCCGCUGAAGGCCACAAGAAACUAUAGAACUAAUGAUGUAAAAUCUUGCUCUUUAGGUGUUUCCCAGACCCUUUCUUAAUAUGAAAAUGAAAGUUCUGUUUUAAUAUUUUUUUGAUCUCAAAGCAACAUGUACAUGUAUGUAGAUUCAGUGUAAGACUUGCGCUUUUUAGGGACAACAUCAAAAGACCAAUAUGUAGGAUAAAGCAAAACUUUCUGCGUUUUUUUUUUAAAACUCAUGAUCAAGUUAAUAAGAAAAUUACUUAAUUACAAAAGGAAUGCAACACUAACAGAAUACAGAAGGGCAAUCAAUAACAAAAGACAAAUAAAAAAGUAACAUUGAUCCCGAAAAAAACAGGAGAUAUGUCUGAGAGAGUAAUUUAUGGUAACGAAAUCCGUAUCUUGAUAAUUUACCAGUGAUGCAUUGAUUACGUUCGUUAAAAUCUAUGACAUCACUACACACACACGCAUACCGAACGAGUUGGGAUAUAUAAACACCGUAUGAUGGAACCAAAGGUACACACAUGUUUAUCCCCGCCACAUUUGUUAUGUCCCUGUCCCAAGUUAAGACCCUGUAGUUAUGUUAUUUUCGUAGGUUUAUGUCUGUCAUAUUUGUUUUUCGUAAAUUGUUAAGUUAUCAAUAAGUUGGUGUACUGGUUUCAAUUGUUUCAUAAUUUUCAUGUCGCACCUUUAAUAUCGGACUGUAUGGUAUGGAUUUUUCUGAUUGUUGAAGUCCAUAUGGUUGCCUACUGUUAUAAUUGCAUAUCCACUUAGUUUGAACUUUGGUGGAUUGUUGUCUCAUUUAACUUAAUACUACAGCUCCUUAUUUUUAUAAUAUUUAUCAUCAAUCCGUUAUUAAAAUAAGGGGAAUCGACCAUUACCAAGAAUUAUUUAUGAUCAUGUUUUUCAUCCGACUGAAAGAUAUGAAAAAUUGAAGAAUGAUGCAAAUGUCAUUUAUUGGAUGAGUUGCCAGGUCUUGUUAAAAUUGAUAACCAGUUCAGAAGUUUAAUAAAAAAAUAAAAUGUCCACUUUGGUUCGAAAUGAAACAGCAUUUGAGAUGCUUGCUGGUCGACUGAUAUGUACAAAUAUAUAGAGAGGCAAAAAUCUCAAAUGCUGUUUGUCGGUAACUUCGACAUAUAUUACAAGUAAAACAAUUAAAAUAAACGUUUAAUGAAAAAUUAAUAAAAAUUAAACUACAUGGGGGUCAUUCGGUAUACUCCCACUCAGGGGCACCCAAAGGGUACCCUGUCCACAAGUACCUGUGGUAGGAUGAAGAGAUCUUACUUCGGUUCGUUUACAUCUAAAUUGACCAACAACUGACCUACAAUUGGAGUCAUUGCCUUAAAAAACGACAUUUAUUAAAAAAAUAUAUCAUGAGAUUGAAAACAGAAUUAUUUGACAAGAAUUUUUUCAAGGAGUUACGCCCCUUCGAACUUAUUUGUUUCAAUAUACUACUGCAACAGUUUGUCAUCGCAACUCCUCUCAAAUCACACAACAGAAUUUCAUGAAACCUUUUCAUUCUAUGUAUGUAGAUGUGCAUAUCGACAGGAAAUUACGAUUCAAUUUUUUUUCCAGGAGUUACGCUCCUUUGAACUUAUUUGCUUCAAUAUACUACUGCAACAGUUUUUUGUCAUCGCAACUCCUCUCAAACCACACAAGAGAAUUUCAUGAAACCUUUUUAGAUAAUAAGGACAUACAUUGUACUAUGUAGAUGUGCAUAUCGACAGGAAAUUACGAUUCAAUUUUUUUUUCUAGGAGUUACGCUUUUUUGAACCUAUUUGCUUCAAUAUACUACUGCAGCAGUUUGUCAUCGCAACUCCUCUCAUCCCACACAAGAGAAUUUCAUGAAAUUUUUUUAGAUAACAAGGACAUAGUAUUUUGGAGAUGUGCAUAUCGACAGGAAAUUAUGAGUCAAUUUUUUUUCUUUCAGUUAUUUUUUUUUCUCAAGUAACAAUGUGGGGACGUGGGGUAUGUGAGCACGCUAACUAAAAGGUUCUUUACUUGUUUUUUGUUUUCAGUAACAGAACAAACAUGCGGGAAUGACCAGUGUAAAAGUAGGAAAGGAGGCUGUUAUGAUAAUCAAGAGGAGUGGAUGGAGGGGUGUACAAAGAAAAUAUGUAUAGUAGAAGAACAUGGUUGGAGAACAGAAAUAGUCAAGAUAC